UGGUACUCUGAUGCUUAAGAGAAUAUGUCAUGCGCUGAUGUGCUCAAACCGCUGAGCGAAAAACACUGACGAAGCGAAGAUGUGUCUGACGAGUGGUGCAGUGUGGAGGAAUAGUUUCGGUGGAGAAAAGAGAUUUGCGGAGCACAGUGGAAAAUGAGAAAUGAGAGGGGAAGUGUGUUCGAAAUAGAGAAGAGAAGAAAGGAGCCUUCGAAUGUAACCCUGCCC
rnacentral:lncRNA from 1 species